rnacentral:rRNA from 1 species
GACGAACGCUGGCGGCGUGCCUAAUACAUGCAAGUCGAGCGAAGUUUUUCUGGUGCUUGCACCGGAAAAACUUAGCGGCGAACGGGUGAGUAACACGUAAAGAACCUGCCUCAUAGACUGGGACAACUAUUGGAAACGAUAGCUAAUACCGGAUAAUAGCAUUAACUGCAUGGUUGAUGUUUAAAAGUUGGUUUUGCUAACACUAUGAGAUGGCUUUUCGGUGCAUUAGCUAGUUGGUGGGGUAAAGGCCUACCAAGGCGACGAUGCAUAGCCGACCUGAGAGGGUGAUCGGCCACACUGGGACUGAGACACGGCCCAGACUCCUACGGGAGGCAGCAGUAGGGAAUCUUCCGCAAUGGGCGAAAGCCUGACGGAGCAACGCCGCGUGAGUGAAGAAGGAUUUCGGUUCGUAAAGCUCUGUUGUUAGGGAAGAAUGAUUGUGUAGUAACGAUACACAGUAGAGACGGUACCUAACCAGAAAGCCACGGCUAACUACGUG